rnacentral:rRNA from 1 species
AACCAGACUCCUACGGGAGGCAGCAGUGGGGAAUAUUGGGCAAUGGGCGCAAGCCUGACCCAGCAAUGCCGCGUGAAGGAAGAAGGCUUUCGGGUUGUAAACUUCUUUGACAGGGGAAGAGCAGAAGACGGUACCCUGAAAACAAGCCACGGCUAACUACGUGCCAGCAGCCGCGGUAAUACGUAGGAUGCGAGCGUUAUCCGGAUUUAUUGGGUUUAAAGGGUGCGCAGGCGGCGUGUCAAGUCAGCGGUAAAAUGUCGGGGCUCAACCCCGGCCGGCCGUUGAAACUGGCGUGCUCGAGUUGGAGAGAAGUAUGCGGAAUUCGUGGUGUAGCGGUGAAAUGCAUAGAUAUCACGAAGAACCCCGAUUGCGAAGGCAGCAUACCGGCUCCACACUGACGCUGAGGCACGAAAGCGUGGGUAUCGAACAGGAUUAGAUACCCUGGUA